AUUUGUUUUUGUUUUUAAAUUAUUUUGAAAUAUAUAAAUUAGAUAAUUCUUAUAUUCCAAAAAUAAUCUUAUACAAUUUUAAUAAGAUAUGUGUAUUACUAAAGAAUGAAAUGGAUAAAACCAAACGGUGCCUUCAUUACAUAUAAAGUUGUAAAUUUUUUUAAAUUGUAAUAAAAUGCCUUUCUGAAAAAGUAAGUCCGUAAAAAUAAAAAAAAUAAAAAAUUAAAUACAUAAAAUGAAUUUUUAUUUUAUAAUGUAAAUAAAUAAAUAAAUAUAUAAAUAUAUAUAUAUAUAUAUAUAUUAUCUUGUUAUCGUCCCUUUUUUUUUUUUUUUUUUCUUUUUUUUUUUUUUCUUUUUUCUUUUUUCUUUUUUUUUAUAUAAAUAAAUUAUGCAUGGAUAAUAAAAUGAAAUUAAAAAAGUAUUUAUAAAAAAUAUUCUUAUGUAUAUAUAUUCUUUGUUUAAACCUAUUUUACUUUUAAGAUUAUUUUUAAUUUUUUUUUUCAUAAGCUUAUUCAUAUUUGAACAUAUACACAUAUAAUAUAAAUAUAUGUAUUAAAUAUAUAUAUAUAUUAUAUACACAUUUUUAUAUUCUUUUUUAUAUUCACUUGUUUAUUUGUUUAUAUUUAUUUAUUUAUGUUUAUUUAUUUAUGUUUAUGUUUUUAAUUAUUUUUUUCUGUUUAUAGUAUUAUUCAAUUAAAAUAUACAGAACAAGUAUCCAUUCAAUAAAACAUUUUAAAAAUAUAUUUACAAGGAUUAUUUAUAAGAGUUCAAAAAUUACUUAAAAAAAAAUUAAAUAAAAGAAAUGAAAAGAAAAGAAAAGAAACAUCUCUAUUAAAAAAAAAAAAGAUGAAAGAAUAAGUAAACAUAUAAAAAGGUAUAUUUAUAUGUUAAAACUAUUUAGAUAUUAUAAUGGAAACGAGGAAAAUAAUUAAGGUACUAUUAUAAAACAAUAAAUAAAUAUAUAUAUAUGUAUGUAUAUAUAUAUAUAUAUAUAUAUAUUUAAUAAAUGUUAUUUUAAAAAAUAUAAUACAUAUAUAAAUGAAUAUGUUAUAUAUAUAUAUUUAUAUAUAUGUAUGUAUGUAUAUGUAUUAAUACAUUAUAAAAUUAAAAUUGAAUUAUAUAUAUAUAUAUAUAUAUAUAUAUAUAUAUACAUAUAAGUAAAUAAUAAUAUUAUGUAAUAAAUAUUAAUUUAUCAUACACAAAAUGGUAUAUACACCAAGGAAUAUAUAUAUAUAUUUAUAUAUUGGAAAAUGUUUUUAUUUGUGCUUAUAUAAAUAUAUAUGUGUAUGAAUAUUUUAAUUUUAAAAGUAAAUAAUAAAUAUAAAUGCGUAUAAUAUAUAUGUAUAUAUAUAUAUAUAUAUAUAUAUAUAUAUAUAUGAACAUGCUAUAUUCUUAUGUAUGUACCAACAUAGAUAAGAAUUUUUUUUUAAAAUUAUAAAAGCAAACAUAUAUGUUUUGAAACCUUUAUAUUUUUUAGUAAUAUAUAUAUAUAUAUAUUACAUAUAUAUGUAUGUUAAAAGUAGAUAUAAUAUUUACCUACAAAAUAUAUAUAUAUUAUAUACAUGUACACGAUGAGAUACAUAUUAUACACAUAUAUUAGCAUACAAAUUUUUAAUUAUAUUUACAUAUAAAUUUUUUCUUUUUUCUUUUUACUUUUUUCUUUUUUCUUUUUUCUUUUUUUUUUUUUUUUUUUUUUUUUUUUAUUUUUCUUUUUUUUUUUUUUCAUUUAUUUAUUUAUAUGUACAUUUUUCUUUUAUAUAAUAAUGAAUUGGAUAAUAGAAUGGAGAAUAAGCCUUUUGUAGAAGAUGAUGAAUGCUGACGUUUUUGUUUUCCUUCCUGGGCCUAAUUUUAUAAAUGAUAUCAUCUAAUAAAAGGACAUUAAUUUUGUUUUUGAGGAGGCGGUUUGUGUUAUUCAUUUGAGUAAUCCGAUUAAUUACAAAAUUUGUAGUAUUGUUGAGGUUACUUUUGAGCAUGUUGCGUAUACUUCUUGAUUGAAAACGAAAAUACAAAGUUUUAAUAAUGUAGGUCAUAUAACAGAAAUCGUCAAGAAUUAUAUCAUCAUGUAUUUUAUUAUUUUUUAAGGGUAAAUUAUUCAAAGAACAGAUAAGAAUCACAGGUUUUUUAAACAUAAUAGUGUUAUGAUUUUUAUAAUGAUUGGAUAUGUUGUUUGUUGUUUCAGGAUGUGUUAUGGUAUCAACAUUUAUAUCUGAGUUUAUAUUAGGAACAUUUGUAACAUUUUUAUAUUUAUCUUUAAUACAAUAAAUGAUUGUAUGGUCGAAAUGAUAACUAUAAGAUAUUACAUCGGAAUCAUUUGUUACUAAUAUAAUAUGAUCGACUCGUUCAUUCAUAUAUAAAUCAUUUACAUCUUGUAUAAAAGGAUUAGAAAAUUCAUUAUGAUUAAAUAAACGAAAAGAUUGAAAUGGAUUUAUUCUCAUAACAACAGGAAUACCUUUCUGUUUUAAUAAAUCAAGAGUAUUUUUUAAAUCUUCAUACAUAUAGGAAUAUCGUUUUCUAUGAUUAUUAAUAUCCUUAUUUGUAUCAUUAUCCUUGAAAAUACAUACAUGAAGAAACAUUAUUACACAAUUCUGUCUAAAGAUCUCCCAUAUUUUAUCAAGAAUAAUUAAGAAAUCUAAUAACGUCAUUGUUUUUUUUAAAUUAUUUUCAAAAUUUUCUCUCACAUAAUCAAAAUCAAGUACAAUACCAAAUUUUAAGGCUUUUUCCAUUUUCAAGUGUUCAGGUACUUUCUUCUGAUAUUUUUUUACAAGAUGAUGAUUAUUCAUAAUAUGUUUGAGUGGAUACAUUUUAUUUAACAAGUUGUGUAUUUCAUUAAAUAUUAAAUCAGCAUUCAUAUAAUAUGUAUUUUUUAUAAGAUGACGAUUAGGACAAUCCAAUAAUUUAAAAGAAACAAUAUUCUCUUCAUAUAUACCUAUUUCAUAAAUAUCAGAUUUAAAAUUAUUUAAAAGACCUCUAUUACAAACAUCUUCAAAUCUUUUCUUAUUAUACUCUUGUAAAAAGUUUCCCAUCUCUUCUUUUUUAUUUCCAUAGAAAUAGGAUAAGUGAUUAUCUAAAUACAUUAAACUAUUAAACGAUUUUUUCAUUUCAAAACAGAAACAUUUACCUAUACUAUUAUUUAUAUUACGAUCAUAAAUAUAUGGAGAACUUAAUAAAUCAACACUAUUACCUUUUCUAUCAUCAACAUAUUGUUCAAUAUCACUAUUAUAAUAUACAUCCUCUUCUAUAUUUAUAUAAUUAUUCUUAGCUUCUUCUUCUUUUUUAAUAGCAUACUCUUCAGAAUUUAAACUUAUGACAUGCCUACACAACUCAUUCUUUUUCAUCUUAUAUAUGUGUACCAAGUCCUCACAACCAGCAUCAUUAGUAUCACUAUCGUUCGUAUUAAGAUAAAACAAACCUUUCGUAUGAUUAUCUAAAUAUAAAUACCAAGAUUCAAACAUUUUUCUACUAGCACUAUUUCGACGCCUACUAUUACCUUUUACUUUCAAUUUUACGCAAGUCUCUUUUUUGUAGUUCAUAUUAAUAAUAUGGAAGUUAUAUAAAUAUAUAUAUAUAUAUAUAAUAUUUUGGUGAGUUUAAAUUUGUAGAUAUAUAUAUAUAUAUUUAACAAUGGACUUUAUAUAUAUAUAUAUAUAUAUAUAUAUAUAAUAUUUUGAUGAGUUUAAAUUGGAAGGGCUAUAUAUACAUUUAACAAUAGACUUAAUAUAUAUAUAUAUAUAUAUAUAUUAUAUAUAUAUUAUUAUUUUUAUUUUUUUUUUUUUUAUUCAGGAAAUAUACUAUGUUCAGUAUUUCGUGUCAAAUAGACGAGGUACGAAAAAAUAUAAAACAAAAAAAAAAAAAAAAAGAAAAAAUACAAAAAAUAGAAAAAAUGGAAAAAAUUGAAAAAAUGGAAAAAAUAGAAAAAAUGGAAAAAAAUUGAAAAAAUUGAAAAAAUAGAAAAAAAUUAAAAAGUUAAAAAAAUUUUAAGUUUAAAUAAGUAUUAAAAAGAGAGCUCUUAUUACAUAGCAUUAAAUACUUAUAUCUAUUAUAUAUAUAUAUAUAUAUAUAUAUAUAUAUAAUAUAGUUCAUAUUUUAUUUUUUCUUUCCUUCAGGUUAUAUAUACAUUUAUUAUGAAUAAAAAUAUGGCGUAUGUUAAAAAAAAAAAAAAAAAAAAAGAAAAUAAUACUUAUAUCUUAAACAAUAGUAAAUAAUAUAAUAUGUUGUGUAAUUCGAAAGCUGUGUAAUUAAAAAUUUGUGUAAUUUCGAAAAAAAAAAAAAAAAAAAAAAAAAAACGAGGAAAGAAAAAAGGAAAUAUUGUAUACUAAAAAAAAGCAAGUUGAGAAAUGUAUUAUAAAGAGCUAAAGAUUUAUUAUAUAUAUAAUAUGUAUGUGUAUAUAUAUGUAUGUAUAAUAUUAUAUAUAUAUAUAUAUAUAUGUGCGAAGAAAAAAAAAAAAAAACAAUUUGAGAGAUUUCAGAGAAUUUGAUAUGUUUCUUUAUUUCUUUUAAAACAAAAAAAC